AAAAAUGCAUAUUAGGCGGAUCCACACCGGACGAUCCAACGCGCUCCGAUCGCGCGCGGCAUGGAGCGCGCUCCACGGAGCGUGAAGUGUAGACGUGCCGCGCGCGAUCCAUGUGCGCGGCGGAGAGCGCGCGCUCCUCGCCGCGUGCGAUCCAUUUGUUGUCGGUUUUUUGGUCACGCACAAAGGGGCCUCAGUCGCUUGGCGCGCGCGGUCUGGACGGUUGUGAGAAUCGCGUGAUCCGCCGUUAUGGAUAAUUCGCAAUGUAUCCGUUUAAUUUCCCUAUAUAGGGAGAAUAAAUCUUCAGCUCCAUCGUCAAUUAACUCUUUGUAAAGUCGAGUCCCAUAUUCUAACCGGUUUUUAAAAAUUGUUUUAACCCAAUAUUGUCUUUUUCGUUUUCGUAAUUUUUUCCGUAAAUAUACAAGUAAAAUGUAGCUUGCUGCUGCUACGGCUAUUCGUCGCCGUCGUUGCACGUGUGACUCCAUAGCCAGACAAAAUUCAACUGACUCAGUAUGGAUCGGCAGGAGCGCGUUGGAGCAGCCAG